UACGGAGGAUCCAAGCGUUAUCCGGAAUUACUGGGCGUAAAGAGUUGCGUAGGUGGCGAAGUAAGUUGGUAGUGAAAGCGUUCGGCUCAACCGGAUAAACAUUAUCAAAAACUGCUUUAGCUAGAGGAUGAGAGAGGUUAUUGGAAUUCCCAGUGUAGGAGUGAAAUCCGUAGAUAUUGGGAGGAACACCGAUGGCGUAGGCAGAUAACUGGCUCAUUCCUGACACUAAGGCACGGAAAGCGUGGGGAGCAAACGGGAUUAGAAACCCCCGGGUAGC
rnacentral:rRNA from 1 species